UACAGCCAUAUCACAUUGAAACACAGGUUUUCAUAUGACCACCAAAGUUAAGCAACAUCAAGCCUUGUCUGUACGUAGAUGGGUGACCAUUUUGGAAUACCAGGUGCUGUAAG